UACCGUAACUGCGACGAUAUCUCUGAAUUAAAAAUAAUUGAGGAUCGUCUGAUGAGAACGAGGAAGCAUCUGAUGGAUUGUCUCGAAAAGAAAGAAAAAUCACAAUUUGUUUCCGAUCAAAAACCUAGCACCGACGAGAUAUUCAAUCAUGGUGGGUUUUCUUCUCCUUUCUCACAAAUUGCUUCUGAUUUUGGUCAAAACCCUAGUACCUCUACUCUGUCUUCUUCUCAAAUUGCUUCUAAUUUUGGUCAAAACCCUAGUACCUAUUCUCCGAAUUCCU